GAUCAUGGCUCAGGAUGAACGCUAGCUACAGGCUUAACACAUGCAAGUCGAGGGGCAGCAUGAACUUAGCUUGCUAAGUUUGAUGGCGACCGGCGCACGGGUGAGUAACACGUAUCCAACCUGCCGAUGACCCUCGGGGAUAGCCUUUCGAAAGAAAGAUUAAUACCCGAUGGCAUAGUUCUUCCGCAUGGUAGAACUAUUAAAGAAUUUCGGUCAUCGAUGGGGAUGCGUUCCA
rnacentral:rRNA from 1 species